AUGUUCUCAUUCUUAAUCGAGACUGGUUUUCUUGAGGAAGCAGUACACCUCAAGAAAACCAGUCUCGAUUAAGAAUGAGAACAUU
rnacentral:pre_miRNA from 1 species